rnacentral:tRNA from 1 species
CUCAAAGUAGCUCAGUGGUAGAGCAUUCGACUACAGAUAGAAUGGUCCACGGUUCAAAUCCGGGAGUCUUCUUCAGGGA